rnacentral:rRNA from 1 species
AGUGAACGCUGGCGGUAGGCCUAACACAUGCGAGUCGAACGGCAGCACAGUAAGAGCUUGCUCUUACGGGUGGCGAGUGGCGGACGGGUGAGGAAUACAUCGGAAUCUACUUUUUCGUGGGGGAUAACGUAGGGAAACUUACGCUAAUACCGCAUACGACCUACGGGUGAAAGCAGGGGAUCUUCGGACCUUGCGCGAUUGAAUGAGCCGAUGUCGGAUUAGCUAGUUGGCGGGGUAAAGGCCCACCAAGGCGACGAUCCGUAGCUGUCUGAGAGGAUGAUCAGCCAAACUGGAACUGAGACACGGUCCAGACUCCUACGGGAGGCAGCAGUGGGGAAUAUUGGACAAUGGGCGCAAGCCUGAUCCAGCCAUACCGCGUGGGUGAAGAAGGCCUUCGGGUUGUAAAGCCCUUUUGUUGGGAAAGAAAAGCAGCAGGUUAAUACCCCGCUGUUCUGACGGUACCCAAAGAAUAAGCACCGGCUAACUUCGUG